CCCUGUCCAGUCUCCACCCCGGGAGGCUCCACUCCGGGUCCAGGCCGCCUGGGGCGUUUGCAGUCCUCUGUGGGAGGUGGCGCCCCGCAGAAUGAGAACAUUUCUGUCCCGGGCCAGCAGGUGUUACCUGAGCUCCACUCCAUGUGAAACCAGGUUUUAGGAUUUGGGCCUUUCCCCCAAAGAAUUCAUGGAGUUGUUUCCUGCUUCCAAGGCAUUGUGAAUUCCUCUGGAUAAAGGCCGGCCUGGGCCUCCUGACUGAGUUCAGCAGUCAUUGUGGGACAGAAGAGGAGUGUGCAAACCCUGCAGGAUUAGGGGUGCUGAUGAGGCAACCAUCAGAAGACAUCACUUGACAAGGCCUCUCUAUUUCAUGAGUCACGAGGGCUGAGCAUGGAGCCCUCUUCCUGCUCCUCCAGAAGCCCUGGCCUCCCCGUGACCCAGCCCUUCUUGUUUCCACCUGAUGCUUCUCUCAUAGCUGCCAUGAUUUUGUAAUCUUUUGUCAUAACCUGCCACAUCACCCCUCCAUCAUCCGGUCUCAGCUCACACAGAGGGCUAGAAGGUGAAAAAGUCCACUUUCUGCUUCUCUGCUGGAUGACCUCUCCUCCAUGCCCAGCUGAGAGCUCUUCUUACAAAUCUCCAUAGAAGGGGGUUCUUCAUGUUUCUUGUCAAUGUUUCUCAGUGUUGACAACUUAUAAGGCCAGGGUAUUUGGUGAAAUGGAAUUUCUGGGGGCAGGCUUUCAGGGAUUUGUUGGGUUAUAUAUAAGGAUUUAAAGUAUUCAGAUAAUCUAGCUCAGGGGUCUGCAAACUUUUCCUGUAAAGGCCUAGACAGUGAAUAUUUUAGGCAGGUUAUACAAGUUCUGUGGCAACGACUCAGUUCUGCUGUUGGAACACAAAAGCAGCCACAGGUGAUAUGUAAAUAAAUGAGUGUGGCUUUUUCCAAUAAAUUGUUAUUUUCAAAACUAGGCUACAGCCUGGCCCUGACAGGUCUUCUCACCACUGUAUUCAGUCCUGACCUGCCCAGACAGCCUUCUCCCUAAGGAAGGAGUCCCACACAAAUCUCACUGGCGAAUGCCCUUAUCUGCUGCAGCUGGAGCAGCAGCUUACUAGGCCUUUCAGAUACACUUAGGAAGAAAUCCUGAAGCAGAACCUCAUUAGCUUGUGUGUGGCUGGUGAGGUGGUUUUUGCUCAGGACAGGGUGCCCAAGAGCUCUGGGAGGUCUUUGGUGAGGAGGGGCCUCGAGGAAUUAUCUCAGAUGGGAUGGACUUAUUUCAUUUCCUCUGGGGCACCACCUCUUUCUUCCACCUCUAAGCCUCUGCAUAUGCUGCAUUCUCUGCUGUUUCUUCCAUCUUCUCCACAUAGCUAAGUCCUUCUCAUCCUGUCAGCUCCUCCAGGAAGCCUCCUCAGAUUGCUCUCCUCCCCCAGUUUUUGGUUGGUGUUCCUGUAUAUGCUCCCACUGAGCUCUGAUUGAUAGUCCCCCACUAAAGCCUUUGUUAUGCUUCUCUGUGAUCACUUGUUUCACCUGUAUCUUCUACUAGAAUGUAAGUUAGACUGAACUGAAAACUCUGUGAGGACAAGGACUCCAGCACCUUGCACAAUAUCUGAUCUACAGAAGUAGCUCAAUAAAUAUUUAUUAAAUG